rnacentral:rRNA from 1 species
GACGAACGCUGGCGGCGUGCUUAACACAUGCAAGUCGAACGGUGAAGGGACUGGUUUUGCUGGUCCUGGAUGAGUGGCGAACGGGUGAGUAACACGUGAGUAACCUGCCCCCUUCUUCUGGAUAACCGCAUGAAAGUGUGGCUAAUACGGGAUAUUCUGGGUCUGUCGCAUGGUGGGCCCGGGAAAGAUUGCGCCUUUUUUGGUGUUUUUGGUGGGGGAUGGGCUCGCGGCCUAUCAGCUUGUUGGUGGGGUGAUGGCCUACCAAGGCGGUGACGGGUAGCCGGCCUGAGAGGGUGGACGGUCACACUGGGACUGAGACACGGCCCAGACUCCUACGGGAGGCAGCAGUGGGGAAUAUUGCACAAUGGGCGCAAGCCUGAUGCAGCGACGCCGCGUGAGGGAUGGAGGCCUUCGGGUUGUGAACCUCUUUCGCCAGUGAAGCAGGCCUGCCUCUUUUUGUGGGUGGGUUGACGGUAGCUGGAUAAGAAGCGCCGGCUAACUACGUG